rnacentral:rRNA from 1 species
ACUCAAAUGAAUUGACGGGGGCCCGCACAAGCGGUGGAUGAUGUGGAUUAAUUCGAUGCAACGCGAAAAACCUUACCUACCCUUGACAUGGCAGGGACCCUGAGGAGACUCAGGGGUGCCCGAAAGGGAACCUGCACACAGGUGCUGCAUGGCUGUCGUCAGCUCGUGUCGUGAGAUGUUGGGUUAAGUCCCGCAACGAGCGCAACCCUUGCCGAUAGUUGCCACCAUUUGGUUGGGCACUCUAUCGGGACUGCCGGUGACAAACCGGAGGAGGGUGGGGAUGACGUCAAGUCCUCAUGGCCCUUAUGGGUAGGGCUUCACACGUCAUACAAUGGCCGGUACAGAGGGCUGCCAAAGCGCGAGCUGGAGCAAAUCUCACAAAGCCGGUCGUAGUCCGGAUUGCAGUCUGCAACUCGACUGCAUGAAGUCGGAAUCGCUAGUAAUCGCGGAUCAGCAUGUCGCGGUGAAUACGUUCCCGGGCCUUGCACACACCGCCCGU